ACAUUCGUAGCUCGUUUUUUAAGUUCUUUGUGAAAUCUGAUAUCUUAAGUAUUAGGCGCGCAAGGAAUACUGGAAAACUUGGGACCGGAGGAAGUAAGGAGUACGACCGAGGUAGUAGUAAAAUAUGUUAAUCUUGGUUGGACUAACAACAGCGAAGGCACCUUACUAAUACGGAUCCGACAGUGAGGAAUGAAGGCUAGGGUCGCGAAACGGAUUAGAUACCCGUGUAGUCCUAGCAGUAAACACUGCUCACUAAACAUUAGCACCUCCUCGAGAGGUGUUAGUGCUGCAGAGAAGUCGAAGAGUGAGCUACCUGGGAAGUAUAGUCGCAAGACCGAAACUUAAAGGAAUUGGCGGGGGAGCACAAGCCGA
rnacentral:rRNA from 1 species